rnacentral:tRNA from 1 species
AAAAAGAUAAGCUAAAAAAGCUAUUAGGUUCAUACCCUAAUCAUAGAAGUAAAAAUCUUCUUCUUUUUA